UAGGGAAUCUUCCACAAUGGACGCAAGUCUGAUGGAGCAACGCCGCGUGAGUGAAGAAGGUCUUCGGAUCGUAAAGCUCUGUUGUUGGUGAAGAAGGAUAGAGGCAGUAACUGGUCUUUAUUUGACGGUAAUCAACCAGAGAGUCACGGCUAACUACGUGCCAGCAGCCGCGGUAAUACGUAGGUGGCAAGCGUUGUCCGGAUUUAUUGGGCGUAAAGCGAGCGCAGGCGGAAUGAUAAGUCUGAUGUGAAAGCCCACGGCUCAACCGUGGAACUGCAUCGGAAACUGUCAUUCUUGAGUGCAGAAGAGGAGAGUGGAACUCCAUGUGUAGCGGUGGAAUGCGUAGAUAUAUGGAAGAACACCAGUGGCGAAGGCGGCUCUCUGGUCUGCAACUGACGCUGAGGCUCGAAAGCAUGGGUAGCGAACAGGAUUAGAUACCCUGGUAGUCCAUGCCGU
rnacentral:rRNA from 1 species